GGUCCGCGGCUCAGGCAGCCGGAGCAGGGGGAGCGCAGGAGAGAAGAUGGAGGACGCCAGGGUCUGGCGCGGACUCGCUGGGCACUGCGGCGCCGUCUCCCGGGACUCCAACGCGGUGCCCAGCAGCGUCGCGUCCCUGUCAGACCCUCGGCGGCAGGCGCAGGCCACGGCGGUCACCUGGCUCUUCAGUCCCGUAUGCGCCGCACUACCGUGCCUCCAAAUUGGGGGAAGCCCCCAGGACUUGGAGUGUCUCUCCCGUCUGAACAAAAAUCGAACUUGUGGUUGGACGGCGUCAGAUGUCACUGAGGUGACCCCAGCCUCUGUUUGCAGUUCCAAGUCUUCCGUGUAGGCGUCACUGCUGCUGGAACUUUGUAGGAUGAUGUCCUGAACGUUUGCUAUCCUCUCCUCAGAGAGGUAGCUACUGGGAAUAUCAGAGACAAGCUAUUAUUAAACCAAUGUCUCCAGUC